rnacentral:rRNA from 1 species
UCUAAUAAUCCAUAUCACCCUGCAGCCCAAGCUAAGAAGGACUGAGCCUGGUCAGUACCUGAAGGGAAGACCACAUGGGAAAGCUUGGUUGCUGUUGGAA